UGCUUUACCAACAACAACUGCAAGACCAACAACAACAACAUUAACUACUACCACGGGAUCCACAACAACACCAACUUUAGGAGCAAUAACGACAACUGCUUUACCAAAACCAACUGAUGGACCAGCAACAACAACAACAUUAAAUACUACCGCGGGUUCAACAACAACAACUGUAGGACCAACAACAACCAAUGCAGAACCCACAACGCCAAAUCCUGAACCGACAACAAUUCAUGGAUCUGGAGCUACAACUGCAGGAACCACAACAGCACCUGCAGGAUCAUCGACAACUGCAGUGUCAACAACGACAACUGUAGAUCCCCCUACAGAAAAUAAAGGGACUAUUGAUUUGAGAUUCAGCAUGAGUCGUACGUUUAUAAAAGACUACUUAGAUUCAAGCUCAGCAGCCUAUCAGGUGCUGGCUGCUAAUGUAACAACAGAGGUUAACAAUGGCUUCAAACAUAGUUUUCCUGGAACAUAUUCCGGGAGUACAAUCAACUCUUUUGCUGAGGGAUCAGUCUUUGUGGACAUGACGCUGAUCUUCAACAAAGAAUCUGCAGUUCCUACUGAAAGCCGUGCAGUGCAGGUAUUGAAGGACGCAGUAGAUGAUCUAAUAACCUUCCUCGAUGUGGACACUACAACUAUUGC